rnacentral:rRNA from 1 species
AUACGUAGGGUGCGAGCGUUGUCCGGAAUUACUGGGCGUAAAGAGCUCGUAGGUGGUUUGUCGCGUCGUCUGUGAAAUUCCGGGGCUUAACUCCGGGCGUGCAGGCGAUACGGGCAUAACUUGAGUACUGUAGGGGAGACUGGAAUUCCUGGUGUAGCGGUGAAAUGCGCAGAUAUCAGGAGGAACACCGGUGGCGAAGGCGGGUCUCUGGGCAGUAACUGACGCUGAGGAGCGAAAGCAUGGGUAGCGAACAGGAUUAGAUACCCUGGUAGUCCAUGCCGUAAACGGUGGGCGCUAGGUGUAGGGGUCUUCCACGACUUCUGUGCCGUAGCUAACGCAUUAAGCGCCCCGCCUGGGGAGUACGGCCGCAAGGCUAAAACUCAAAGGAAUCGACGGGG